UAAUUUAAAAAUAUUAUAUCAAAGUUUUAACGUAAACUAAUAACUAAAUAAAAAAUAUAAAAUUAAAGAAAUAAAUAAUUGAAUAUGAAAAAUAUAAAAAAUGUUUUUUUUUUUAACAAAUUAAAGAAAUUAAAGUGCAGCGUAGAAUAAAAAAGACAACAUGAAGUAAAAAAUAUUAUAUUAUAUUAUAAUAUUUAAAAAACUAAAUCUAUUUAAUAAAAAAAAAAAAAAAUAAUAAUAAUAAUAAUAAAAUAAUAUACAAGUUUUUAUUGUAAAAUAAUAACUAAAUAAAAAAUUUUAUAAAAUAAAAAAAAUAUAAAUAAAUUUAAUAAAAUGAAAUUAAAAAUAUAGAAACAAAACAUUAUUUUUUCCUAAUCUAAUAAUAAAUUUAAACUGCAGUGUAGAAUAAAAAGCUGUAUAAUGAAAAAAAAAUUUAUCGAAACAAAGUAAUAAAUAAUUUAAACGUUACAAUAAUGAAAACAAAUAUUACACAAUUUAAAAAGUAAAUAAUUAAAAAAGUUUAAGUAAUACAAAUUGAAUAUUUUCAAUAAAACACAAUGAAAAAAAUUAUAAUUUUAUAUAAUGUAAUAUAAAAGUUGUAACUGUAAAAUAAUAACUAAAUCAAAUUUAAUAAAAUGCAAUGAAAAACAAUUAUUAUUAUUUUUUUUAACAAUUAUAAAAGUUAUAUCUAUAAAGUAAUUAUACUGGUAUUUACUACAUUUAUUAAAGGAACAUAAACGAACAUUAAUAUUUUAUCUUAAAAUUAAUAGAUAUGUUAUAUUAUAUAUAAAAUAACGUACAAACUACAUAAAAAAGUCGAAAUUGUACUAUUUCAGUGCAAUUAUUUAAGAAAGCACAUUUAUUUAUAUUAUACAAACUUGUUGGAUUACGAAAGACGAAAUUAUUUCCAUAAUUUGUAACUUGAGGGUUUCACAAAUAAGCUUGUGUUUCAAAAAUGUGCCUUAAUGUCUUAUUUGUUUUACGAAAAAUAUCAUAUGUAUAGCCCAAGGUCUUGAGAUUUUUACACAAUAUUUCUAAGCUUCAUUUUCAUUAAUUUUGUACGCAUCAGAGACUUUUAGCGAUUUGAAAAAUAUCGAAUCCUUAAUGAAAAUGAGUUAUUUCAAGUUCGCAAAUUAGAAACCGUCUUUGAUGCUCCUAAUAGUGGACCAGAUCCUGUACAAUCGCAUAACAUUAAUAUCAUGUAUUGUUUUCUGGCGUUUUCAUACAAUUGACACAUGCUAACAAUAUUUAAGAAUUCUUCCAAAUUUGUGUAAUUAUUAAAUAAAAUAUUAAAAAAUACUUAGUCAUAGUAAAAUUUGUGAUAUUAGAGCAAAUGAGAGCCAUAUAUAUAAAUAUAUAUUAUCAUAUAAAAAAUAUUGUAAAUAAUAAAUAUAUGUAAUUAUAUUCUAAUUAUCUUUAGUAUCAAGUAGAAUUUUUUCAAAUAUUAUGUAUUUGAAAAUAUUAUUUUAAAAUUUAAAUUCAAGCAUUUUAAAGUAAGUCGCGCUUUGCUCCCACGUGGUGCUGUAGCACACUAUACAACAUACAUAUAUAAAUGUAUAUUUUAAAGUAAACAUAAUUGUUAACAAAACUACACAACCAAAGCAUUUAAUAUACAUAUUUAUCAAAUAAUAAAUAAUUUUCAUACUACAUAGACUAUUUAUUACGUUGGGUUAAAAACGAUGUUUUUUUGUUUGAAAGUUUCUCUAUUUAUGAGCUUUCAAUUGUAGCGAUAAGGUCCUUCGCCUUGCAGUUUUCUAUGUUUUUCUUAUCAUCAGAAAAGAAAUUAUAGAAUGCAAAUCUCGCUUCCAACUACUUGAAAAAUUAACUUGUUUCAUAGAUUUUGUAGGAAAUUGUUUGCUCUACAAAAAGUGCUCUCACGUUUUCUUCAUAAAGCUCAUCGCUUUAAAGAUAUUAACGGAUGUAAUUCAAUGAGAAAAAAUCAUUAUAAAUUGGAAAAUUUAUAACUUUAUAGGCAACUUACUGCUCUACAAGAAUGAUCACAUAAAAUUUAAAGAAAAAAAAAACAAAAAGCGAUUAUGAGCUGAUACAUGGAGAGAUAUUCUUAGAGAUGCCUAUCUCAAAGGCAUUUAGCAGAUUAUUAGAAUUUAUCAAUAUGUUGGGGCAAAGUGAGUCGUUGUGACUUAGGAGAGGACACAAUAGACCUUACGUCCAAUCCUCAUCAAAUCCAAUCUAGAGGUGCCUAAGAACCUAUUUUCAGAAUGCCAAACGAAAAAAAUAUUCGUUUUUUUGCACCCUAGAAUUUAUAUAAUAUAUAAAUACAUAUGUAUUUGUUCAUUCAAACCACAUAUAAAACAAAUAUUAUUUUAACCGUAGUCUAGUCUAACGAUUUGCGCAAAUAUGUAUAUUGUCAAUACUCACUUGUUAUUUAAAUAAUUGUUUAAUAAAACAAAUAAUUAUUAAUAUUAUC